rnacentral:rRNA from 1 species
AAUGGACCAAGAGUCUGAUCCAGCAAUUCUGUGUGUUUGAUGAAGGCCUUCGGGUUGUAAAGAACUUUAAGUAGGGAAGAAGAAAGUGACGGUACCUACAGAAUAAGCGACGGCUAAAUACGUGCCAGCAGCCGCGGUAAUACGUAUGUCGCAAGCGUUAUCCGGAAUUAUUGGGCAUAAAGCGCGUCUAGGCGGUUUAUUAAGUCUGAUGUGAAAAUGCGGGGCUCAACUCCGUAUUGCGUUGGAAACUGGUAGACUAGAGUAUUGGAGAGGUAGGCGGAACUACAAGUGUAGAGGUGAAAUUCGUAGAUAUUUGUAGGAAUGCCAAUUGGGAAGCCAGCUUACUGGACAAAUACUGACGCUGAAGCGCGAAAGCUAGGGGAGCAAA